UGGCAUGUGCUACACAGGUUUUCCUAGUUCAUUUGUUUCCCUUAAACAACUGUUCUAUCUUUUGCUAAUUUAAGCUGUUUUAGAAUUCCUUUGAUAUAGCUGGUAACUAAUAAAAGGCUAGUGAACCCAGUGGUUGGUACUGCACCACACACAGUCUUUCUUCAGGCUAUUGGUCAUUGGUGUUCAGCCAAUGCUGAAUCUUGAAUAAUCAAUUGUUCUGGUGGAGACUGUGGAUCAAUUACCAAAAGUUAAGAUGGAUGACGGCCUGAGUGUCACAUCCCCCCCUCUCCCCAGGCCCCAAGGAAUGCCUUCCCUGCAUCCCAGCCCACAGAAGCUCUAAGUCACCAAGAUCUGCAACUCUGAAGAGUUUCCUCAGGCAUAAGACUACACACUACUCCAAGGAUCUUCCAUGGUCAGGAGCUGUGCAGCUGCAGGGGAGCUGCCCAGAGAAGGAUGCAGGGAAGGAGCUGUGCACAAAGCCUGUCUGCCUGUCCCCUCCUGUCAUAAGAUUCAUAGCAGCUUGUCACCGUGAUGCCUGCCUGCAGAGAGAGACACAGGAUCUCCCUCUCACUGAUGAGGCUAGUGCAGCCCCUGGUCCCCUUCUUCUAGUUAUGUCCACCAAGUAAAAAUGGGGUGUUCCCUCCCA